rnacentral:rRNA from 1 species
AUACGUAGGGGGCGAGCGUUGUCCGGAAUGAUUGGGCGUAAAGGGCGCGUAGGCGGCCCGGUAAGUCUGGAGUGAAAGUCCUGUUUUUAAGAUGGGAAUUGCUUUGGAUACUGUCGGGCUUGAGUGCAGGAGAGGUAAGUGGAAUUCCCAGUGUAGCGGGGAAAUGCGUAGAGAUUGGGAGGUACACCAGUGGCGAAGGCGACUUACUGGACUGUAACUGACGCUGAGGCGCGAAAGUGUGGGGAGCAAACAGGAUUAGAUACCCUGGUAGUCCACACUGUAAACGAUGAAUGCUAGGUGUAGGGGGUAUCGACCCCUUCUGUGCCGCAGUCAACACAAUAAGCAUUCCGCCUGGGGAGUACGGCCGCAAGGUUGAAACUCAAAUGAAUUGACGGGG